rnacentral:lncRNA from 13 species
UUUACAUGAAUAAGAUUCAUGUAAAUAGUAUAUAAAAAAUAAUCCAUGUAGACGUAAUCUUAAAAUUUACAGCACAGUUCUUGUUACAGCACGGAAGAGAACCACAAAACACAGACAGUACCUAUGGGAUUCAUAAACGUUGGCUACAUAGUUCAAUGUUUUAUGAACAUAAGGGCGCUCCAAAAUAAAGUUAUAGCUAAAUCGCAGCCGUAGCCGCUCUCGGGCUUCUCUCUGUACACAUAUGCAUGUUAUCAAAGAACCUUUCAGGUUUUAACAACAUUUCGUGAUAAGCUCUGCAAUGCGAGGAAUACAUUGGAGGAUUUACUCUGUCAUUUCCCGUAGGGUAUACAGAUGCGGUUCCUCCUCCGCUCUUUCAGGCCUACGCCAAUUCAAAGGGAUUCAUUUACAAUAGGUAGCUGAAAGUGUGGCGGCAUGACAGCGAAGGACGUGGACGACACUUCUUUCCGAGAGACCACGCGGUAGCUUCUUGCCAAGCCGAGCAAUUUCGACGAUCACUUAUCUUCCUGUCCAAGAGAACGUUCGUUCCCUGCUUGUCGGGAGUGGACGCGUGGAAAGACAAAGGUUGAGAGUGAGAAGGAGGGAGAGAGAAGAGGAUGUGAAGAGAGAUAAAGAGGAACCGACCGCUUCAAGGGAGCAGAGGAGAGAGAAACGGAAAAUCAGAGGAGGGAAGUUUGGAGGUGACUUUCAGGCGUGGAGAGUUGCGCGCGUCAAGGCAAUCCACUCGAUCACUCUCUGGGGACACUGAGAAAUCCUGGUUCGCCCGCGUGUACUCAUACACAUGUACGCGAACGACAGCGUACGGCAUGUACCACCGAUCCGACGGAAUAAUGUUGGAAAAACCGUUUAACUCUGUAAAAGCAAACGUUCGCUGAAUAACAGAAAGUUAAAUCAAUGAUGAAUCAAAUUCUGUAACUUGUUGCCAGAUAGGAGGAGUCAAUUGCUCAUUGCUGCUAUUAUCGUAGAAAGUUGUGAACAAAUCAAUUGAGAUAAUUAUUAGUGUUGGAGAAAUUGACUGCUAUUUUGUAUAAAAACAUAAUUCAUAGUGAGUGCGAUUGAUCAUUUUGGUUUGUUUUGUUAGACAUUGAGACCUUAUUGUAGAAUAUUAGAAUAUUGAUAAAUAUUAGAAUAUUGAUAAAUCGAUUUCGAUAUUGUAUUGUGGCUGACAUUGCUCUUUCUGAUUACUUAUUAUUUAGAAAAAUUAAAUCACUAAUUAG